ACUAUUUGUUUUUGAUCCUUCCAAUUUCUGGAGCCAUCUUGAAACUCUUGAUUGUUCCAAAAUAUCUAACUCAUGGAACUGAUUUAUACUACCUCAAAGGACAUGACCUCUACAUCCAUUAAUUCUCUGGUGAAUAACAUGGGGUAAAAGGGAUGUUGUGCUUCUUCCAAGCCGAGACCAUAACAAGCCAACUCAGCUAACCAAGCAGCUGAAUAUAAACGUGUGACAGAGCUGACCCCAAAAGCAGAAGAACCACCCGGUGAAGCCCAGUCCAAACUUCUGACCCACAGAUUAUGAGCCAAAUAAUUAGUUGUUAUUGUCUUAAGCAUUUAAGUUUUGGGGUACUCUUAUCUAGCAAAAGCUAGUUGAUAUAAUGCCCCAGAUUUUACUACUUAACCUGCUGGUGGUUUUCUAUAUAAACCAAGGCCCCAUACUCCACAGCACCAACAAAAUCAAAAAGAUUUUCAAAGCUAAACUCAAUUUUCCAACUUACCCUUGACUUAGAGAAUCACUAGAUCAGUGCCUUGAACAAUUUCUCAACUACUUCCAAAUGUGAUUACUAUAUACAUUUCUAUGUAUCAUAUUCACAAUAAUUAUCCAUAUUACUACAAAAUCUGAAAUCCUAACAUUUCCCACACAUGGAAUUUCCUCCAUUAAUUGACAAGUACGUGGGUUAGGUAAAAAAUUUUGAUUAAAAAUGUCACCAUCAUUAUCAAUAAUGUUAAUACCCCACAUGUAUUCCUUUGGAUAUCUCAGUAGCAGUCAGAGGAUGCCUCUGGAACUUUCAAAGC
rnacentral:lncRNA from 1 species